CAAUAGCGUAUAUUAAAGUUGUUGCGGUUAAAAAGCUCGUAGUCGGUUGGCCUGGGCAUCUUCUUGGAGAACGUAGCUGCACUUGACUGUGUGGUGCGGUGUCCAGGACUUUUACUUUGAGGAAAUUAGAGUGUUUCAAGCAGGCACACGCCUUGAAUACAUUAGCAUGGAAUAAUAAGAUAGGACCUCGGUUCUAUUUUGUUGGUUUCUAGAGCUGAGGUAAUGAUUAAUAGGGAUAGCUGGGGGCAUUCGUAUUUAACUGUCAGAGGUGAAAUUCUUGGAUUUGUUAAAGACGGACUACUGCGAAAACAUUCGCCAAGGAUGUUUUCAUUGA
rnacentral:rRNA from 1 species